UACGGGGGGGGCAAGCGUUGUUCGGAAUUACUGGGCGUAAAGGGCUCGUAGGCGGCCAACUAAGUCGGAUGUGAAAUCCCCAGGCUCAACUUGGGAACUGCAUCCGAUACUGGAUGGCUUGAAUUCGGGAGAGGGAUGCAGAAUUCCUGGUGUAGCGGUGAAAUGCGUAGAUAUCAGGAGGAACACCUGUGGCGAAGGCGUCCAUCUGGCCCGUUACUGACGCUGAUGCGCGAAAGCUAGGGGAGCAAACGGG
rnacentral:rRNA from 1 species